AAGUCGUAACAAGGUUUCCGUAGGUGAACCUGCGGAAGGAUCAUUCGAGGGAGAGGCGAGUAGUGAGCGGCGAGUGAGCUGUGAGCUACGAGUAGCCAAUUCUCAUUGUGCUUGACGUGUAACAUUGAAUAUGAAAAUAAAGAAAACAAAAACAAACAAAAAACUAUGAACAACGGAUCUCUAGGCUCUU
rnacentral:misc_RNA from 1 species